rnacentral:lncRNA from 1 species
UGAAUCUUAUUGGAAGAAGAACAGGCCAUGAGGCCACUGGAAGUUCAUUAGAAUAAUUAGAUUAAGGAGAGAACAGAGAAGAUAUAAAAAGAAGAUUCCAAACUUUCGAUUUGAAGCCCGAAGAUUCUAGAAUAGGAAAGUCUUCUGAAUGUGUUAAAGUGAAUGUGAUAACUACAGAAUGAAGACAUACUCAAGUCACGCAAGGAAAUACGUGCAGCAAUGAAAAGGAGCAGGUGCCAAACUCAAAGGGAAUGGAAUAAAAGUUGAGAUCUCCAAGAACUGUGGAGGUUUUCUCACCUCAGAUGAUCUUAGGCAACCUCUAUGAUAGAGUUGUUCAAUCCCCAAAGG